rnacentral:rRNA from 1 species
GAUGAACGCUAGCGGCAGGCUUAAUACAUGCAAGUCGAGGGACAGCACAUGUGGCAAUACUGGGUGGUAACCAGCAAACGGGUGCGGAACACGUACACAACCUUUCUUUAAGUGGGGAUAGCCCAGAGAAUUUGGGAUUAAUACCCCGUACUAUAGUUGAAAGGAUUAAUUUGAUUAGUAUAGUUACGGCGCUUAAUGAUGGGUGUGCCGAUGAUUAGAUAGGUGGCGGGGUAACGGCCCACCGAGUAUACGAUCAGUAGCUGAAGUGAGAGCAUAGUCAGCCACACGGGCACUGAGACACGGACCCGGCUCCGACGGGCGGCAGCAGUAAGGAAUAUUGGUCAAUGGACGCAAGUCUGAACCAGCCAUGCCGCGUGAAGGAUUAAGGUCCUCUUGAUUGUAAACUUCUUUUAUUUGGGACGAAAAAGGGCCUUUCUAGGUCAAAUGACGGUACCAGAUGAAUAAGCACCGGCUAACUCCGUGCCAGCCGCCGCAGUAAUAC